UAGGGAAUCUUCCGCAAUGGACGAAAGUCUGACGGAGCAACGCCGCGUGUAUGAAGAAGGUUUUCGGAUCGUAAAGUACUGUUGUUAGAGAAGAACAAGGAUAAGAGUAACUGCUUGUCCCUUGACGGUAUCUAACCAGAAAGCCACGGCUAACUACGUGCCAGCAGCCGCGGUAAUACGUAGGUGGCAAGCGUUGUCCGGAUUUAUUGGGCGUAAAGCGCGCGCAGGCGGUCUUUUAAGUCUGAUGUGAAAGCCCCCGGCUUAACCGGGGAGGGUCAUUGGAAACUGGAAGACUGGAGUGCAGAAGAGGAGAGUGGAAUUCCACGUGUAGCGGUGAAAUGCGUAGAUAUGUGGAGGAACACCAGUGGCGAAGGCGACUCUCUGGUCUGUAACUGACGCUGAGGCGCGAAAGCGUGGGGAGCAAACAGGAUUAGAUACCCUGGUAGUCCACGCCGUAAACGAUGAGUGCUAAGUGUUAGGGGGUUUCCGCCCCUUAGUGCUGCAGCUAACGCAUUAAGCACUCCGCCUGGGGAGUACGACCGCAAGGUUGAAACUCAAAGGAAUUGACGGGGGCCCGCACAAGCGGUG
rnacentral:rRNA from 1 species